rnacentral:sRNA from 1 species
AGGAAAAGAAUACUUUCACUAGGCAAUUUCAAGCUCAUUUCUUAUUAUAUCCUCCCACACUAAGAAAUAGCAAACAAGUGACUUUGCCUUGAGAGAUCUACACGCACCUUUGAGAAAAAAGAAAGAGAAUCAACCUUGAAAGCAAAAAGAAGGAAAGAAGGAGAAAGAAGAAAAAAAAAGGAGGAAAAAGAAAAAGGUUUGGAGGAGGCUCGGUUUUGGGGAAGAUUAGAGAAAAAUCGAAAGGUUUUCUCUUUCAUGCCAUUGUUGGAGCUUUGAAAAGGCAUGAGAGGUUCGGCCUAGUGAUUCCAAGCUAAGGAAGGAUCUACAAAGAUUCAAAGAACCAGGUGCAUGCAUGCAGCUUGUUCUUGAAAGUAUGGUGAGUUAAAGCAAGACAACUAACGGCAAUGGUGACCAAAGAUGUGAGGAAUUUGUGAGAUAUAUGUGGAAUUCACGAUAAAAAUCAAAAGGAAGUGUAUAAGUGAGGAAAGUUGUUGUGGUGGCAUACCGGAGGAGUUAACGGGUGACCAGCGAGCUAGAUUAGCUAGAGACACAUCUGAACCAAUAGUGACGUAGUGUCCCACUAUUGUGAGAUAAGUGAUCAGCUUAAGUGUAUCACCCCAAUAUUUUGACUCGCUGCGACGUAGGUAAUGGCAUCUCUUAGACUUCCACUCCGAGUCACUCUGUUGCACAAGGCUCAUGUUAUGUAAAACUGUUAGAUUCAUAAAAUUAUUAUUAGUCUUUCGGAUAUGUAUUUGAUAAAAACUUUGAGGUUGUGUAUUAGACGCUAAGUGUGAUGUUGAAACUAUCUUGAAGUUGGUUAAACGUGGAUAUUGUAUCUAGUUGCUACACUUUAAUUACAGCUAU